GGCAGCCGCCGCCGUCGCCGCCGCAGCGAAGAGGCCAUGUUGUGUGGUGUGUGGGGCGGGGGGAGGAGGAGGAGGGAGUAAAGCCGAGAGAGGAGACGGGAGAGACACCACACACACGGCACAAGAUGGCCGGAGAGGCAGCAGCACCCAGAGCUGUCAGACGUUUUGCCGCGGCCAAGGUGCCCGCUGGCUGGCAGGGAGCUGUAUUCGGGCGGCCCGGAAGCCCGCAGGAACUGGGUGGCCGUGGCUGAGGCGAGGCGGGCCUCGCACGGGUGCCGGAGCUCGUGGCCGAGAAGUCCAGGGCUGCCCGGCCCACGACGCCGAAAGCUGGGCUACGGCAGCGGCCACGGAGGUGCGCCGGGUCCCGGCCGCCUAGACCGAGCGUGGGCGGGAGGCUCGGGCGGGAGGUCAGUCCCGGUAUCGAAGAUGGAGACCAGAAGGUGCCAGUGGCCGAGUUAUACCCGGUUACUUACAGAGUUUAAAAUUAAUUUGCUUAUGGUUUGAACAAAUACAUCUUUUAUCCCAGGUAUGUCAUUUUGAAGACUGACAUUGUACUUUUAUCCUUGAGGAUUAAGGAGAUCUUUGGGAAAGUCUGUAUUUUAUCUAGUAAAAGUAUGACUCCCCAGAUAGAACAAUCUAAAGGGCCCAUACAACAUAGUAAUCAUUGGUGGAAACAUUUACACCCAGUCAGCUUGAAGAGUCUCAAAUGGACCUUACCACUGAGAAAUCAAGAUGGCAGUCCACUAUGGGGACAUGAGGAAAAUGGAUUAAUACAAGAGUGCUGUGAUAAUACACAACCAAGAAAGGGUUCUUUUAACAUGGAUUCCAUGAAAUGAAUGAAUGAAGAUAUAGGUUUCUUACCCAACACAAAUGGACAGUGGAUUUUACUUUCAAAAAACUUUUGUAUCAUUAAAACCAGUGCAUUUUUGACCUUGGAGAAGACAGCACGGUAGUUUGUAUGCUUGGAAUUUUUUGCCUUUUGAUUUGUUUUGAGCAUGACCUCAUGGAAUGUUAUCUUUAAUAAAAUUUCUAACACUUAAAAAUU